rnacentral:rRNA from 1 species
GGGGAAUAUUGCACAAUGGAGGAAACUCUGAUGCAGCGAUGCCGCGUGAGGGAAGAAGGUUUUAGGAUUGUAAACCUCUGUCUUCGGGGACGAAAAAAAGACGGUACCUGAGGAGGAAGCUCCGGCUAACUACGUGCCAGCAGCCGCGGUAAUACGUAGGGAGCGAGCGUUGCCCGGAAUUACUGGGUGUAAAGGGAGCGUAGGCGGGAUCGCAAGUCAGAUGUGAAAACUAUGGGCUUAACCCAUAAACUGCAUUUGAAACUGUGGUUCUUGAGUGAAGUAGAGGUAAGCGGAAUUCCUAGUGUAGCGGUGAAAUGCGUAGAUAUUAGGAGGAACAUCAGUGGCGAAGGCGGCUUACUGGGCUUUAACUGACGCUGAGGCUCGAAAGCGUGGGGAGCAAACAGGAUUAGAUACCCUGGUAGUCCACGCCGUAAACGAUGAUUACUAGGUGUGGGGGGACUGACCCCUUCCGUGCCGCAGCAAACGCAAUAAGUAAUCCACCUGGGGAGUACGACCGCAAGGUUGAAACUCAAAGGAAUUGACGGGGGCCCGCACAAGCAGUGGAGUAUGUGGAUUAAUUCGAAGCAACGCGAAGAACCUUACCAGGUCUUGACAUCGUAUGCAUAGCUCAGAGAUGAGUGAAAUCUCUUCGGAGACAUAUAGACAGGUGGUGCAUGGUUGUCGUCAGCUCGUGUCGUGAGAUGUUGGGUUAAGUCCCGCAACGAGCGCAACCCUUACUGUUAGUUGCUACGCAAGAGCACUCUAGCAGGACUGCCGUUGACAAAACGGAGGAAGGUGGGGAUGACGUCAAAUCAUCAUGCCCCUUAUGACCUGGGCCUCACACGUACUACAAUGGCUGUCAACAGAGGGAUGCAAAGCCGCGAGGUGGAGCGAACCCCUAAAAGCAGUCUUAGUUCGGAUUGUAGGCUGCAACCCGCCUACAUGAAGUCGGAAUUGCUAGUAAUCGCAGAUCAGCAUGCUGCGGUGAAUACGUUCCCG